GGGGGAUAUUGCACAAUGGAGGAAACUCUGAUGCAGCAACGCCGCGUGAGGGAAGACGGUUUUCGGAUUGUAAACCUCUGUCCUUGGUGACGAAAAAAAUGACGGUAGCCAAGGAGGAAGCUCCGGCUAACUACGUGCCAGCAGCCGCGGUAAUACGUAGGGAGCAAGCGUUGUCCGGAUUUACUGGGUGUAAAGGGUGCGUAGGCGGCACUGCAAGUCAGGCGUGAAAUAUAUGGGCUUAACCCAUAGACUGCGUUUGAAACUGUGGUGCUUGAGUGAAGUAGAGGUAGGCGGAAUUCCUAGUGUAGCGGUGAAAUGCGUAGAUAUUAGGAGGAACACCAGUGGCGAAGGCGGCCAACUGGGCUUUUACUGACGCUGAGGCUCGAAAGCGUGGGGAGCAAACA
rnacentral:rRNA from 1 species